ensembl:lncRNA
GAGAAAGAUUCUCUCCACUGCCCACCCCACAGAGGCGACACUGGCAACUGGUCUCUGCUCAAAGUUCAUCUCAGAGAAGCCUUCCCUGGCCACCUCUCCAACGCAGCAGGCCCAUCCCAUCCGUCUCUCUGCGCCCUGGUCCAGAUACUAAACCCCCUUCCAGGUGGGAGAAGUCCAUGAUUAAAGAAGUCAUGUGCUGCCCACAAGUAUGGAGCCCCCCAGCCAGUUGGACCCAAAGGUUGACGAUGCCGACUCCUACUUACCUCACUACCAAUCCAUCAAAAGAAUGUCCACAAGCUGAUCAUGCCCUUUUUGGGCAAUUAAAAUAAAGCUUCUCAGUGUGUCCAAGUUGGGAUACAUGGAGACACAUGAGUCCAUUGUGUCCCCCUUCGCCUGGCAAAGCAAUAAAGCUAUCCUUUUUUAUAUCACCCAAA